UACAGAGGUCUCAAGCGUUGUUCGGAUUCAUUGGGCGUAAAGGGCGCGUAGGCGGCGGGGUAAGUCGGGUGUGAAAUCUCAGAGCUCAACUCUGAAACUGCACUCGAUACUGCUCUGCUUGAGGACUGGAGAGGAGACUGGAAUUCACGGUGUAGCAGUGAAAUGCGUAGAUAUCGUGAGGAAGACCAGUGGCGAAGGCGGGUCGUCUGGACAGUUCCUGACGCUGAGGCGCGAAGGCCAGGGGAGCAAAGCGGG
rnacentral:rRNA from 1 species